rfam:Rattus norvegicus chromosome 10, whole genome shotgun sequence.
GGGGAUUUAGCUCAGCGGUAGAGCGUUUGCCUAGCAAACGCGAGGCCCUGGGUUCGGUCCCCAGCUCCG